rnacentral:rRNA from 1 species
GGCAGGCCUAACACAUGCAAGUCGAGCGGCAGCGGGAAAGUAGCUUGCUACUUUUGCCGGCGAGCGGCGGACGGGUGAGUAAUGCCUGGGAAAUUGCCCAGUCGAGGGGGAUAACAGUUGGAAACGACUGCUAAUACCGCAUACGCCCUACGGGGGAAAGCAGGGGACCUUCGGGCCUUGCGCGAUUGGAUAUGCCCAGGUGGGAUUAGCUAGUUGGUGAGGUAAUGGCUCACCAAGGCGACGAUCCCUAGCUGGUCUGAGAGGAUGAUCAGCCACACUGGAACUGAGACACGGUCCAGACUCCUACGGGAGGCAGCAGUGGGGAAUAUUGCACAAUGGGGGAAACCCUGAUGCAGCCAUGCCGCGUGUGUGAAGAAGGCCUUCGGGUUGUAAAGCACUUUCAGCGAGGAGGAAAGGUUGAUGCCUAAUACGUAUCAACUGUGACGUUACUCGCAGAAGAAGCACCGGCUAACUCCGU